AGAGAUGCAUUGGGCGUAAAGAGUGCGCAGGCGGUUUUUGUAUGACAGAGGUGAAAUCCCCGGGCUCAACCUGGGAACUGCCUUUGUGACUGCAAGGCUGGAGUGCGGCAGAGGGGGAUGGAAUUCCGCGUGUAGCAGUGAAAUGCGUAGAUAUGCGGAGGAACACCGAUGGCGAAGGCAAUCCCCUGGGCCUGCACUGACGCUCAUGCACGAAAGCGUGGGGAGCAAACA
rnacentral:rRNA from 1 species